UUCGGAUAUACUUGAAGGGGAGACAGAGAGAAGGGAGUGAGCUCGUCUGAGGAGGAUGAUCAUCAAGGAGAGGUCUGAGUUUUAGGAGUGCAGUUGCAGAAAAUACUGUUAGAAGCUGUGAAUAUCCUUGGGCUUUUGGGAAGUAUUAUUCAUCACGCCGAGUCACUCUCCACCGCAGACUGUCAGGAGAUAAGGCAGGCUCUCACCAGGACUGCUGCAGACAGGUGUUUCACAUACCUUUAUGCUGCCCUUUGACCCCCCUGGUAUGUAUAUUGAGAUGCUAAGCUGUCCUAAAGCAGCGUAGCUCUGUGAAAGCCAGCAGAAUGACUCCACUUAAAGCCAGCUGACGGCUUUGGUCAUAAACAUCCCAGGCCCUCCUGUGAACAGACAGAUUGAAGCUUGCUUUUUAAGAUGCAGAUGGAAUAUCGAUUGAAGAGUAGAUGAAGACCACCAGGAUAGUUUUGUUUCCAGUGCAAGCAUCAUUCUUCUUUAUAGAUUAAAAGUGUGUCCAUGCAA
rnacentral:lncRNA from 1 species